GACGAACACUGGCGGCGUGCUUAACACAUGCAAGUCGAACGGAAAGGCCUCUUUCGGGGGGUACUCGAGUGGCGAACGGGUGAGUAACACGUGAGUAACCUGCCCUUGACUUUGGGAUAACUUCAGGAAACUGGGGCUAAUACCGGAUAGGAGCUCCUGCUGCAUGGUGGGGGUUGGAAAGUUUCGGCGGUUGGGGAUGGACUCGCGGCUUAUCAGCUUGUUGGUGGGGUAGUGGCUUACCAAGGCUUUGACGGUUAGCCGGCCUGAGAGGGUGACCGGCCACAUUGGGCCUGAGAUAGGCCCCAGAUCCCAAGGGGAGGAAGAGGGGGGAAUAAUGCACAAUGGGUGGGAGGCCGGUGGAGGAAAGCCGGGGGGCGGAAGAAGGGCUUUGGGGUGUAAACCGGUUUUGGUCAUGACCAAGGCUUGGGUGACGGUAAUUGGUAAAGAAGCACCGGCUAACUACGUG
rnacentral:rRNA from 1 species